rnacentral:rRNA from 1 species
GAUGAACGCUGGCGGCGUGCCUAAUACAUGCAAGUCGAGCGAACAGACGAGGAUGUUGCUCCUCUGAAGUUAGCGGCGGAGGGGUGAGUAACACGUGGAUAACCUACCUAUAAGACUGGCAGAACUUCGGGAAAGCGGAGCCAAGAUCGGAUAAUAUAUAGAACUGCAUGGUUCAAUAGAGAGAGAUGGUUCUGCUGAGACUUAUAGCUGGAUACGCGCUUGAUUCGCUAGCUGGUAAGGUAACGGAUUACCAAGGGAACGAUGCGUAGCCGCCCUGGGAGUGUGAUCGGCCACACUGGAACGGAGGCACGGCCCAGACGCCUACGAGAGGCAGCCGUUAGGAAUCCUCCGCGAUGGGGGAGAGCAUAACGGAGCAACGCCGCGUCAGUGAUGAAGGUCUUCGGAUCGUAAAACUCUGUUAUUAGGGUAGAAAAGAUGUUUAAGUAACUAUGCACGUCUUGACGGUACCUAAUCAGAAAGCCACGGCUAACUACGUG